GGGGAUGUGGCUCAAGGGGUAGCGCGCUCGCCUAGCAUGCGUGCGGCCCGGGUUCGAUCCUCAGCAGCACCA
rfam:Ictidomys tridecemlineatus contig048577, whole genome shotgun sequence.